UGGGCUAUCAGGUUUUAAAACAGGGUAAUCUCCCUAUCUGGUCAAAAUAUAGUACAAAAAAGAUUGCUUAUCACAUGUUUAUUUCAAUCCAAACAUUAAGUUGAAGAACAUAAAUACAAGUUCAAUGUGCAAAAUGGACAAAACAAGACUUGUAGCUCCACACUAUGUGGCUCACUUCUGACUAGAGAGAGGGGUAAUGGUCGUCAGUAUUAACUAUGGCACAUCCUGUUUUGUUGGUAGAGACAACUGUAAUAGACCCUAAGGUUUCAGAUGCUAAGUACUACCCUGGUCAUAAAGUACAUUAAGUCACAGCAUGUACCAAUACAACAAAAUUGAAUGGAGAAACUGGAAUGUUGACAAUACAGGGCCGUAAUACAUAAUAACACAUUUAGAAGUGACAUCACAAUUAGGGACAGCAAGCCCUCUCGACUUACCAGAAACCCUGCAGUUUCUUUCAUCAGGAGCACAGGAACAAUUGAAGUUGUUGUAAAGUCUGUAUUUGUAUUUUUAUUUAAAGAAAACAUGGUAACACUUUACAAUAUGGGUACAUUCAUUAACCAUUGAUUAGUAUAACAAUGGUUAAUGCAGUGAUAAGCAUUAACUAACAAAAAAAAGUAAUCUAGUAAUCAUUAACUAAUGGUGUUCAUGUUUACUAAUAGCGUUCUUGUUGACUAAGGUAAUGGUGUUCAUUUUAGUAAGGUUUUAUUUUAUGUUGUUGGUUAACUGUGCUAAUGCUAUACAAUAAUGCUUGUUACUGCAUUUACUAAUGUAAAUUAAUAAUUAAUGGAUUUACCCUUAUUAAAGUGUUACCUAAAACAUACAGAAACAGAUACACAAACGGAUAUCAAUCAUCAACAUUUAAAAUAUGCAGAAGAUGACUACAAAUCCUUUUGUAUUAGUCAGAAAUUGGUCCUUCUCGUAAUUCAUUACUUCAUUGUAUGCAAUCCUCAGAGAUCUCUUGAAACUGAGUUUCAGCUGGUUGGUCAAUGUUCCAACCGAUCCAAAAUGCAACAGUCCAAAAUGAUCAUUACACAGUACGCACUCAGUGUUUAACCAUUCAACAGUUCAUUGUAGCAAAAAUAAACAAAGAAAGACCAUCACAUUUUCGUAGAUAUAGUGUUUUGAAAAAAAUAGGACACCUUGGAACGGUCGACAUUGGCCUCAUUAGAUUGUCUUUCACGUACCAAUAUUAUACUUUAUGUUCUAGCCUUAUCAAUAUACAUCAAAAAUACUAUUUAUUGUCUCUGUAUAGGUGGGGUUCUGUACACAAACACAUAUUUAUAUAUAUAUAUAUAUUUAUUUUUUAUUUUUUUAUAUAUAUAUAUUUUAUACAUCAGUUCCUUCUUUCAUCAUAAAACACUAGAUCUGUAAUGAGCUUCAAUACAGGAGUUCUGAACGCCAUGCUAAGCCUCUUGUGUUGUACAGCCCAUCAUUCAGCUGCAGUCAUUAAAUCAGAUAUACCACUGAAUGAUUGUUUAAGUCGAUUAGACGUAACUCAAGAGGAAAGCGGAACUUGCAAUUGUUAAUCAGUGAAUAAAUGAAUGUGUAUAACGUAAUCAAAAUGCUGUCAUAGGCUUAAAUAUAUUGUAAUAGCUUUCCCAAAGGCAAAAUGCAUAAAUCCUAAUGUAAACUGUCUUCUAAUUAUUAUUGUUAUUCCUUUAUUAUUUGAAAGGAGAAAAAGUUUAAGCUAAUAACUUCACAAAGAGUUGGAAAUGUCAACAUGCUUCUUUCAUUACUACAUGAAGCAUAUAAGGGUGACAGACAGCAACAGUGCAUAUUUAGUUAUCUCUAUCAUUAUACCAGGUUAUGGUUGUGUAGUUUAGAAUAAAAGUUAAUGCAAGUUUCCUCACAUAUCGUCAAACAGCCUCAUUUAAAUUUAAAUCACGCUGUCCAAACAGGAUGGUCCAAAGUCUGAACAUACCGUGUGAAUUUUUGUUUUGGCAAGUCACGUUUUAUUGCACACACACAACACAUGCACACACACACAGUCACACACACACACACACAGUCACACACACACACGCACAGGCACAGGCACACACACACACACACACACACACACACACACACACACACACACACACACACACACACACACACACACACACACACACACACACACACACACACACACACACCAGGUCAGGCCUAGCUCUAACAGGACUGAAAUGACAACAUUAGAUCUGAGGAAGGGAGAGAGAGAGAGUAAGAGCAACAGAACAAAGGUUUGGUUUAUUUGUCGGUCUACGCAAUAUUCACACACAUCUUUUACACAUCCGUUAUUAACUAUUAGAAUCUUUCUUUUGCAAAAAGGCAAAAAGAGACGUUGAUAGAGUUGUUUGGGGGUCAAUGUCCAUUUGAUGUGAUUCCCAAAUAAAAUAAUUACUCUUUAGAAGAGACAAACAAUAAACCUCUGUGUUGAAUUAUUUGCGUUGUCCUCAACCAACAACAGUACUUAUUCAUGAUGGCGGUCCUGUGCGGUCGCCUGAAGGUUAGAGGUCAAUAAUUUCACUGCUGACGCUGGCUGAGUCGUCCUGUCGGCUCACCUCCAGGUAACUCCGCGACGCCCCCUGCCUCCCAGGCCUCCCAGGCCUGCCGGGCCGGCCGCCCACGCCCUCCGAGUCUGGUGUGAUGAAGGGCCGCGUGUCGUCGCCGCCCUCCUCCCCCAGGUGCCCCGUGGAGGUCCUGGAGGGACGCAGUGACACCGGACAGGACACCGAGGAGGGCACGCUCCCCACGGCCCCCCCGGCCCCCCACCGGUGACCCUGGUGGGACGGAGUCGGCGGGGCCGUCACCUGCCUGCUUGGGACGCUGCUGAUGAUGCUGCCCCCGAGCGGCAUGGAAGACUCUGUAUCGCUGCUCUCAGACAGCAUCUGGGGAUCGCUGUUCCUGCGGAGCCAGGGGCCCUGGCUGUUCCCCGAGCCUGGGGACGGGGCUGGGGAGGGCGUGGCGAAGGGCAGGAAGAGGCUCCCUCCCCCCAGCAGGUGCUCCCUGUGAAGGGCCGCGUCGAUGCUGCGGGUCAGAUCGAUGGGAGAGGGCGGCCUCAGGUCAAACUCGUACAGGGAGACCCCCGUGUCCUUGUCCGUGUCCAGGCUGCCGCUGAGGGAGCGCUGGGGGGGGCGGCCCAGCGCCUGCAGUCUCAGCAGGGAUCCCGUGGAGCCGUCGGACAUGCCCCGCUCCGCAGACACACCCCGCUGGUUGCGCCCACGGUUGCUGUCUUUGACGCAGCGCUGCUGAGCACUGGCUAGCUCGUGGUUCUGGUUACGGAUCAGACUCUUGCUGAUGUCAGCGCCAGGCCGCUCCUGUCCAGCCCAAUUAUUAGGCAAUUCCCCAGGCCCUCCCCCUUCCCCUCCACCGCCUCCUCCUCUCCCAACCCCAUUACUGUCAGACUUCUUGUAGGGCUUUCCCUUCAGGCUCUGCACGAUCUUGGACCAGCAGGUGUGCUUGUUAGUGGUGGGUGCAGAAUGGCAAGGGGAUGUCUGUUCCCCUGCUGUUCCAUCUCCAGCUCCUCCUUCGUCCCUUCCCCUGAGCGCCCUCGGGCUUCCAGAACACCCAGGAGGCCAGCAGCAGCAGAGAGAACCCCCAGGCCAGCUCCAGCAGCCGGGCCCAGAAAUGCACGAGCCACCAGCACCAAGUGAAGUGCUUCGAGUUCCUCAGGAGUCCGUAGAGCCAAACGGUGGCAUAGACGUGUAGACCACAACACAGCGCCCCCAACAGGGCGCACACAGCCAGCACUCUGCCUAGGAUCAGCCCUGUCCUCCUGCUUCCAGUCCAGGCCGUCCUCCCGGCUUCCUCCACACCUCCCGGAACAGGUGGAGCCGGGCAGCGGAUACGCGGGAAGACAUAGCAGAGGAAGCCCAGGCAGACGAUGAGGCCCCAGCCAAGGGAGAGGACCUGCAGGGUGACGGGCACCACGGGGGACAGAGCAGGGGAGAGCAGGUCAGCAGCCAGCAGCAGGGUGCACUGCAGCACAGCCAACACGGCCACCAGAGGAGGUCGCUCCCAAGGGCGCGGGGAGCACGCUCACUGCCGCCACCCUCAGGGCGAGCAGAGCCAUGGCGGCCUGCGCCCACACCAACAUGUGCAGCGGCAGGUUGUACAGGGCGAUCACCGCCGCGCGAGGCAGCGAGUGACGCGUGCCGUACGGAUCGAGGAGAAAGAAAGACGCCCGGAUCCCUCCCACCAGGAGGAGGAGGGCGUUGGCCAGAACCAGGGCCCCCCGGUGAGGGCAGUCCGUGCCGGGGGACAGCAUGAGGCCCAGGGUGGCUCCAGCUAAAAGAAGGAGGAAGAGGCUGGCGGAGCCGUAGACGUGGAGGUCCCAGGCGAAGGCCAGCGUACGCUUCAGGUCGUCCCAGUGGAGACGCGUGCUGUUAGGGGAGGAAAUGAUGCUGGGAGAUGGGGUGGGAUUGGCAGGUGGAGCAGUGGGAGCUCGAUGGCGGUGCACAGGUGCCACAGAGCGAUUCCUCUGAACAAUAUCAGGCUGGUGGAUGGGGUCAAAGCUUCCUCGGCCAACUGUCCCGAAAGUAGUAGCAGUGAUGGAAGUCAUCACUAGAAAAAAGGAGAAGAUAUUUUACGUUUGUUAUUAUAAGUAUAAUGCCG
ensembl:lncRNA